rnacentral:rRNA from 1 species
GCGAAUGGCUCAUUAAAUCAGUUAUGGUUUAUUAGAUGGUGCUAUCCUACUUGGAUAACUGUGGUAAUUCUAGAGCUAAUACAUGCGACAAAGCUCCGACCCUCUAUGGAAAGAGCGCUUUUAUUAGAUCAAGACCAACCGGUAUCGCUUUSGGGUGUGCCGUCGGAUUGAUGACUCUGGAUAACCAUUGCCGAUCGUAUGGCCCUGUGCCGACGACGCAUCUUUCAAAUGUCUGCCCUAUCAACUAUCGUUGGUAGGUGAUUUGCCUACCAAGGUGUUUACGGGUAACGGGGGAUCAGGGUUCGAUCCCGGAGAGGGAGCAUGAGAAACGGCUACCACAUCCAAGGAAGGCAGCAGGCGCGCAAAUUACCCACUCUUGGCACGAGGAGGUAGUGACGAAAAAUAACAA